rnacentral:misc_RNA from 1 species
GCAUCCUCAAAAGCAGAAUUUGGACUAGUGACUCAGAAUUUAUUCUUUGCUUGUAUUCCUCUUAUCUUCUGGAACCACAGCUUUGUUCUUCCUUAUCCUUAUGUAUGCAUUCAGAAUCUUUUGUUCAACGGCUAGCAAGUUGCUUAAGGAAUAAAAGUUAACUUUCUUUAUCAGACCUUAAAUAUAGAAUAAACUUUUGAGUUAUUAAGCAGGAUAUCAAGUUAGAAGUCAUCUAUCUGCUGUUCUAUUGUUGAAGGUUCAGUAACAUUUUGUAUCUUUAAGCUUCUAACUGCUGUGAGAAAAAAAAAGACUCCAUCACAGAAAUGCCGAAUGUUAGCUUUCUAGAGUUCCAGUACAAGCUUUCAAGAAAUAAGCUUCUGCGAAGGCCAUCCCGAUUGUUCUCUUCCCGGGACAGACAAGGCUCUGGUGCUCUACCCUCUUUCCAGCCAAAUUUGAGCGAGUUGAGGCGGGUUUUCAAUAAAUUUGAUUCAAACAAAGACGGCAAAAUUUCUCAGCAGGAGUACAAGGCC